GCUUGCGCUCGGUUGAGAAGAGUCUCAUCCGGUAGAGCGAAUGAUUAGAGGCAUUGGGGUCGAAACGACCUCAACCUAUUCUCAAACUCCAAAUAGAUGAGACCCCCCGGCUUUCUUAAAAGUGAAGCCGUGGGACUAGGAUCAGAGUGCCAAGUGGGCCAAUUUUGGUAAGCAGAACUGGCGCUGUGG
rnacentral:rRNA from 1 species